GAUGAACGCUAGCGGCAGGCCCAAUACAUGCAAGUCGGACGGGAUCUAUCGGAGAGCUUGCUCGAAGAUAGUGAGAGUGGCGCACGGGUGCGUAACGCGUGAGCAACCUACCCAUAUCAGGGGGAUAGCCCGGAGAAAUCCGGAUUAAGACCGCAUAACACAUCACCUUCGCAUGGAGGCGUUGUUAAAUAUUUAUAGGAUAUGGAUGGGCUCGCGUGACAUUAGCUAGUUGGUGAGGUAACGGCUCACCAAGGCGACGAUGUCUAGGGGCUCUGAGAGGAGAAUCCCCCACACUGGUACUGAGACACGGACCAGACUCCUACGGGAGGCAGCAGUAAGGAAUAUUGGUCAAUGGGCGGAAGCCUGAACCAGCCAUGCCGCGUGCAGGACGACUGCCCUAUGGGUUGUAAACUGCUUUUGUCGAGGAAUAAACCUAUCUACGUGUAGAUAGCUGAACGUACUCGAAGAAUAAGGAUCGGCUAACUCCGUGCCAGCAGCCGCAGUAA
rnacentral:rRNA from 1 species